rnacentral:rRNA from 1 species
UACGGAGGGUGCAAGCGUUAUCCGGAUUUACUGGGUUUAAAGGGUGCGUAGGCGGGUCUUUAAGUCAGUGGUGAAAGCUCCAGGCUUAACUUGGAAAUUGCCAUUGAUACUAUUGAUCUUGAAUUUAGUUGAGGUUGGCGGAAUGUGUCGUGUAGCGGUGAAAUGCUUAGAUAUGACACAGAACACCGAUUGCGAAGGCAGCUAGCUAAACUAAUAUUGACGCUGAGGCACGAAAGUGUGGGGAUCAAACAGG